UGGGGAACAUUGGACAAUGGGCGAAAGCCUGAUCCAGCCAUGCCGCGUGUGUGAAGAAGGUCUUCGGAUUGUAAAGCACUUUAAGUUGGGAGGAAGGGCAGUAAGCGAAUACCUUGCUGUUUUGACGUUACCGACAGAAUAAGCACCGGCUAACUCUGUGCCAGCAGCCGCGGUAAUACAGAGGGUGCAAGCGUUAAUCGGAAUUACUGGGCGUAAAGCGCGCGUAGGUGGUUCGUUAAGUUGAAUGUGAAAGCCCCGGGCUCAACCUGGGAACUGCAUCCAAAACUGGCGAGCUAGAGUAGGGCAGAGGGUGGUGGAAUUUCCUGUGUAGCGGUGAAAUGCGUAGAUAUAGGAAGGAACACCAGUGGCGAAGGCGACCACCUGGGCUCAUACUGACACUGAGGUGCGAAAGCGUGGGGAGCAAACAGG
rnacentral:rRNA from 1 species